GAUGAACGCUGGCGGCGUGCCUAAUACAUGCAAGUCGAGCGAACGGACGAGAAGCUUGCUUCUCUGAUGUUAGCGGCGGACGGGUGAGUAACACGUGGAUAACCUACCUAUAAGACUGGGAUAACUUCGGGAAACCGUAGCUAAUACCGGAUAAUAUUUUGAACCGCAUGGUUCAAAAGUGAAAGACGGUCUUGCUGUCACUUAUAGAUGGAUCCGCGCUGCAUUAGCUAGUUGGUAAGGUAACGGCUUACCAAGGCAACGAUGCAUAGCCGACCUGAGAGGGUGAUCGGCCACACUGGAACUGAGACACGGUCCAGACUCCUACGGGAGGCAGCAGUAGGGAAUCUUCCGCAAUGGGCGAAAGCCUGACGGAGCAACGCCGCGUGAGUGAUGAAGGUCUUCGGAUCGUAAAACUCUGUUAUUAGGGAAGAACAUAUGUGUAAGUAACUGUGCACAUCUUGACGGUACCUAAUCAGAAAGCCACGGCUAACUACGUGCCAGCAGCCGCGGUAAUACGUAGGUGGCAAGCGUUAUCCGGAAUUAUUGGGCGUAAAGCGCGCGUAGGCGGUUUUUUAAGUCUGAUGUGAAAGCCCACGGCUCAACCGUGGAGGGUCAUUGGAAACUGGAAAACUUGAGUGCAGAAGAGGAAAGUGGAAUUCCAUGUGUAGCGGUGAAAUGCGCAGAGAUAUGGAGGAACACCAGUGGCGAAGGCGACUUUCUGGUCUGUAACUGACGCUGAUGUGCGAAAGCGUGGGGAUCAAACAGGAUUAGAUACCCUGGUAGUCCACGCCGUAAACGAUGAGUGCUAAGUGUUAGGGGGUUUCCGCCCCUUAGUGCUGCAGCUAACGCAUUAAGCACUCCGCCUGGGGAGUACGACCGCAAGGUUGAAACUCAAAGGAAUUGACGGGGACCCGCACAAGCGGUGGAGCAUGUGGUUUAAUUCGAAGCAACGCGAAGAACCUUACCAAAUCUUGACAUCCUUUGACAACUCUAGAGAUAGAGCCUUCCCCUUCGGGGGACAAAGUGACAGGUGGUGCAUGGUUGUCGUCAGCUCGUGUCGUGAGAUGUUGGGUUAAGUCCCGCAACGAGCGCAACCCUUAAGCUUAGUUGCCAUCAUUAAGUUGGGCACUCUAAGUUGACUGCCGGUGACAAACCGGAGGAAGGUGGGGAUGACGUCAAAUCAUCAUGCCCCUUAUGAUUUGGGCUACACACGUGCUACAAUGGACAAUACAAAGGGCAGCGAAACCGCAAGGUCAAGCAAAUCCCAUAAAGUUGUUCUCAGUUCGGAUUGUAGUCUGCAACUCGACUACAUGAAGCUGGAAUCGCUAGUAAUCGUAGAUCAGCAUGCUACGGUGAAUACGUUCCCGGGUCU
rnacentral:rRNA from 1 species